rnacentral:rRNA from 1 species
AGCGAACGCUGGCGGCAUGCUUAACACAUGCAAGUCGCACGGGCAGCGAUGUCAUUGGCGGACGGGUGAGUAACGCGUAGGGACGUGUCCUGAGGUGGGUGACAACCCCGGGAGACUGGGGCUAAUACAGCAUAUGGGCUGACGCCCACAGCCGAGAGGCGACGUUGGAGCGGCCUGCGUCCGAUUAGGUUGUUGGUGGGGUAAAGGCCUACCAAGCCUGCGAUCGGUAGCUGGUCUGAGAGGAAGACCAGCCACACUGGUACUGAGACACGGCCCAGACUCCUACGGGAGGCAGCAGUGGGGAAUAUUGGACAAUGGGCGAAAGCCUGAUCCAGCAAUGCCGCGUGAGUGAAGAAGGUCUUGGGAUCGUAAAGCCCUUUCGAAGGGGACGAUGAUGACGGUACCCGUAGAAGAAGCCCCGGCUAACUUCGUG